rnacentral:rRNA from 1 species
UACGUAGGCAGCGAGCGUUGUUCGGAAUUAUUGGGCGUAAAGAGUGCGUAGGCGGUGCUCUAAGUCUGUCGUGAAAUCUCCCGGCUUAACUGGGAGGGUGCGGCGGAAACUGGAAUGCUAGAGUGUGGGAGAGGUAAGUGGAAUUCCAGGUGUAGCGGUGAAAUGCGUAGAUAUCUGGAGGAACACCGGUGGCGAAGGCGGCAUCCUGGACCAAUACUGACACUGAGGAGCGAAAGCCAGGGGAGCAAACGGG